rnacentral:rRNA from 1 species
UACGGGGGGGGCAAGCGUUGUUCGGAAUUACUGGGCGUAAAGGGCUCGUAGGCGGCCAACUAAGUCAGACGUGAAAUCCCUCGGCUUAACCGGGGAACUGCGUCUGAUACUGGAUGGCUGGAGUUUGGGAGAGGGAUGUGGAAUUCCAGGUGUAGCGGUGAAAUGCGUAGAUAUCUGGAGGAACACCGGUGGCGAAGGCGGCAUCCUGGACCGACAUUGACGCUGAGGCGCGAAAGCCAGGGGAGCAAACGGG